GGGGGCGACCUGGCUUCGACGUGGGUUGCAAAGCAAUGCAGGGCAUACCGAGGGCCAGUGACCUCGUAAAUCCAUCUGGAAACCUUAUAGUUGCCAACGACGACAACUACGCCCUAGCCGCUUAAGGCUAGGCUCUGCACCGGCUCUUUCCUGGGCCGGAGCCUGGGAAACCAGGUGGCAGAGUCAUUUACAGGAAAUCGCAAGCACGGCGGGGCUACUUCGCCGGCAGCUAAAACCAAGGUGGCUCGCCCAAGCUCAGUUCGUCGGUUGACGGUGUGAGGGUUAAAACCAAAUAGCCAGACUAAGUAUGUAGAACUGCUUGUAGAGGACUGACGGACGCGGGUUCGAUUCCCGCCGCCUCCACCA
rnacentral:tmRNA from 1 species